rnacentral:rRNA from 1 species
AAAGCGUGCGCAGGCGGUUAUAUAAGACAGAUGUGAAAUCCCCGGGCCUCAACCUGGGAACUGCAUUUGUGACUGUAUAGCUGGAGUGCGGCAGAGGGGGAUGGAAUUCCGCGUGUAGCAGUGAAAUGCGUAGAUAUGCGGAGGAACACCGAUGGCGAAGGCAAUCCCCUGGGCCUGCACUGACGCUCAUGCACGAAAGCGUGGGGAGCAAACAGGAUUAGAUACCCUGU